rnacentral:tRNA from 1 species
AGGAUCUUAGGAUAAACUCUCAAACCGGUAGCCUUCAACGCUACAAACAAGGGGCCUAACCCUUAGCUCCUG